UACGUAGGGUGCGAGCGUUGUCCGGAAUUAUUGGGCGUAAAGAGCUCGUAGGCGGUCUGUCGCGUCGGUCGUGAAAACUUGGGGCUUAACCCUGAGCUUGCGGUCGAUACGGGCAUGACUGGAGUUCGGUAGGGGAGACUGGAAUUCCUGGUGUAGCGGUGAAAUGCGCAGAUAUCGGGAGGAACACCGGUGGCGAAGGCGGGUCUCGCGUC
rnacentral:rRNA from 1 species